rnacentral:rRNA from 1 species
GACGAACGCUGGCGGCGUGCUUAACACAUGCAAGUCGAACGGAAAGGCCCUGCUUUUGUGGGGUGCUCGAGUGGCGAACGGGUGAGUAACACGUGAGUAACCUGCCCUUGACUUUGGGAUAACUUCAGGAAACUGGGGCUAAUACCGGAUAGGAGCUCCUGCUGCAUGGUGGGGGUUGGAAAGUUUCGGCGGUUGGGGAUGGACUCGCGGCUUAUCAGCUUGUUGGUGGGGUAGUGGCUUACCAGGGCUUUGACGGGUAGCCGGCCUGAGAGGGUGACCGGCCACAUUGGGACUGAGAUACGGCCCAGACUCCUACGGGAGGCAGCAGUGGGGAAUAUUGCACAAUGGGUGGAAGCCUGAUGCAGCAACGCCGCGUGCGGGAUGACGGCCUUCGGGUUGUAAACCGCUUUCGCCUGUGACGAAGCGUGAGUGACGGUAAUGGGUAAAGAAGCACCGGCUAACUACGUG